CCUACGGGAGGCAGCAGUGGGGAAUAUUGGACAAUGGCGGAAACCCUGAUGCAGCGACGCCGCGUGAGUGAGGAAGUUUUUAGGUAUGUAAAGCUCUAUCUGCCAAGGAGCAAAUGACGGUUCCUGACUCAGAAGCCCCGGCUAACUACGUGCCAGCAGCCGCGGGAAUACGUAGGGGGCCAGCGUUAUCCGGAUUUACUGGGGGUAAAGGGAGCGUAGACGGGUAAGCAAGUCAGAAGUGAAAACCCAGGGCUCAACUUCGGGACUGCUUUUGAAACUGAGUCGCUAGAGUGCAGGAGAGGUAAGCGGAAUGCCUAGUGUAGCGGUGAAAUGCGUAGAUAUUAGGAGGAACACCAGUGGCGAAGGCGGCAUACUGGACGGUAACUGACGUUGAGGCUCGAAAGCGUGGGGAGCGAACAGGAUUAGAUACCCCAGUAGUC
rnacentral:rRNA from 1 species